UGCAGCCGAGCGGUAUAGCUUCUUCGGAAGCUUGAGAGCGGCGCACGGGUGCGUAACACGUGUGCAACCUACCUUUAUCUGGGGGAUAGCCUUUCGAAAGGAAGAUUAAUACCCCAUAAUAUAAUGAUUGGCAUCAAUUAUUAUUGAAAACUCCGGUGGAUAGAGAUGGGCACGCGCAAGAUUAGAUAGUUGGUGAGGUAACGGCUCACCAAGUCAAUGAUCUUUAGGGGUCCUGAGAGGGAGAUCCCCCACACUGGUACUGAGACACGGACCAGACUCCUACGGGAGGCAGCAGUGAGGAAUAUUGGACAAUGGGUGAAAGCCUGAUCCAGCCAUCCCGCGUGAAGGAUGACGGUCCUAUGGAUUGUAAACUUCUUUUGUACAGGGAUAAACCUACUCUCGUGAGGGUAGCUGAAGGUACUGUACGAAUAAGCACCGGCUAACUCCGUGCCAGCAGCCGCGGUAAUACGGAGGGUGCAAGCGUUAUCCGGAUUUAUUGGGUUUAAAGGGUCCGUAGGCGGACUUGUAAGUCAGUGGUGAAAUCUCAUAGCUUAACUAUGAAACUGCCAUUGAUACUGC
rnacentral:rRNA from 2 species